GACGAACGCUGGCGGCGUGCUUAACACAUGCAAGUCGAACGGAAAGGCCCUGCUUUUGUGGGGUGCUCGAGUGGCGAACGGGUGAGUAACACGUGAGUAACCUGCCCUUGACUUUGGGAUAACUUCAGGAAACUGGGGCUAAUACCGGAUAGGAGCUCCUGCUGCAUGGUGGGGGUUGGAAAGUUUCGGCGGUUGGGGAUGGACUCGCGGCUUAUCAGCUUGUUGGUGGGGUAGUGGCUUACCAAGGCUUUGACGGGUAGCCGGCCUGAGAGGGUGACCGGCCACAUUGGGACUGAGAUACGGCCCAGACUCCUACGGGAGGCAUCGGUGGGGAAUAUUGCACAAUGGGCGGAAGCCUGAUGCAGCAACGCCGCGUGCGGGAUGACGGCCUUCGGGUUGUAAACCGCUUUCGCCUGUGACGAAGCGUGAGUGACGGUAAUGGGUAAAGAAGCACCGGCUAACUACGUG
rnacentral:rRNA from 1 species